UUAGAUACCCUAUUAUACUAAUAAAAACCUGAGUUAUUAAUAGAUAUUGUCUUUAAAUUUGAAGAAUUUGGCGGUGAUUUAAUCUUGUUAGAGGAAUCUGUUUUUGAAUCGAUACACCACGUUAAAUUUUACUUGUUUUAUUUAGUUUAUAUACCGUCAUUAGCAGAUAAUUUUAAGAGGAAUUGAAUUAUUAAAAUUUAUUUACAAAUAAAUUAAAUUAGAUCAAGGUGUAGCUUAUAAAUAAGUUAAAAUGGAUUACAAUAAAAUGUAUAUUAUCACGAAGUAGGAGAGUAAGAGAGUCCUAUAAAGGAGGAUUUAAUUGUAAUAUGAGUUUAAUAAGCUCAAAAGAUAUAAGCACUAAAUCAUGUACAUAUCGCCCG
rnacentral:rRNA from 1 species